rnacentral:lncRNA from 1 species
GCUAAUCUGAGCCCUAAAGAAGUUGUGGGAAGGAGAGAACAAAUUCUAGGCAAAGAGAGCAGCACAUCAGUACCAAGACUAAAGAUCUUUGAAGUACACUUUUUAAGUAGAUCUGUGAUAACUCAGGUCAGUGAGACUUGCAUAGUUUGAUUUAAUCUCAAGAACUUUUGUUAAAUUUUAUUUUUUAUGAAAUGUA